CAAUAGCGUAUAUUUAAGUUGCUGCAGUUAAAAAGCUCGUAGUUGGAUUUCGGGUGGGAAUGGCCGGUCCGCCGUUUCGGUGUGCACUUGCUACGCCCACCUUGCUGCCGGGGACGUGCUCUUGAGUUCACGCUCGGGACACGGAGUCGGCGAGGUUACUUUGAGUAAAUUAGAGUGUUCAAAGCAGGCCUACGCUCUGAAUACAUUAGCAUGGAAUAACACGAUAGGACUCUGGCCUAUCUUGUUGGUCUGUAGGACCGGAGUAAUGAUUAAGAGGGAAAGUCGGGGGCAUUCGUAUUUCAUUGUCAGAGGUGAAAUUCUUGGAUUUAUGAAAGACGAACUACUGCGAAAGCAUUUGCCAAGGAUGUUUUCAUUAA
rnacentral:rRNA from 1 species